rnacentral:rRNA from 1 species
GAUGAACGCUAGCGGCAGGCCUAACACAUGCAAGUCGAGGGUAUAAAAGAGCUUGCUUUUUAGAGACCGGCUAACGGGUGCGGAACACGUACGCAAUCUGCCCUUAUCACGGGGAUAGCCCAGAGAAAUUUGGAUUAAUACCCGAUAGUAUUAUAAUAAGGCAUCUUGUUGUAAUUAAAGCUAUGGCGGAUAAGGAUGAGCGUGCGCAAGAUUAGCUAGUUGGUGAGGUAACGGCUCACCAAGGCGACGAUCUUUAGCUGAUGUGAGAGCAUGAUCAGCCACACGGGCACUGAGACACGGGCCCGACUCCUACGGGAGGCAGCAGUGAGGAAUAUUGGUCAAUGGACGGAAGUCUGAACCAGCCAUGCCGCGUGAAGGAUGAAGGCGUUCUGCGUUGUAAAC